UUAAUCACAUUGAUUCUAAACGCGUUUUACAUCCUCUGCCGUUUCAACCUUCAUUCGCGUUUACAUCCUCUGUCGUUUCAAUCGUGGCAUUCCCAUUUCGCAAUAUCAUCCUUACCAAGACUCAAACCCACACAAAAACCUGCUCCUCCAUGGUAUCAUCGUUCUCUCUGCUUCGUCGUUCUCUUAUUGAUCUAUUCAUACUCUUGCAUCUGGGAGCAACCUUCAAAGCCGGUGAUGGACGGGGCCCGCUUGCAAGGCUACCGAAGAGGUUCCAUCCGGGAGCAACCUAACGUGUACUCUCUCUCCCAAUCUCAGCGCAUUCUAUAUAGCACAUCCUCUCAUCGAUCCCUUCCUCUCUUCCCCUUCAAUCGAAUCCCUCAUGGCCCCUUCCAAUUCCCCUUGAAUCGCAUCUAUCUCCCCCUCUCGGUUCCUGUUUCGAAUCUGUGUAACUGAGAUGUUUAUGGGUGGCAUAGAAUUGAUGAAUUCGACUUUGUGUAAAUCGCCCCUCCCGGCUUCAUUCCUCUCAACGCCACGACGUCGACACCGCAGGCCGAUUCUCUACAUCAGAUACAAUACCUGAUGUUUCGUAGAAACCCUAAAUCAGAUUCAGGCAGAUGCUCUACAUUAUAUCCUCCAUCAAGACAUAAGCUUGAGGAUUCCCCCAAAUUUUAUUUUCACCAUUAUGCCUUAAGUGAUAUAAAAAAUUGCAGCAAGUUGCUUUGGGGCUAUUGAUAAAGAAUGCAGGCUUUCUACCAUACAAGUAGCUGACAGGAUUGUGGUGAUGGAUAGAGGUCAUGUUGUUGAGGGGUUGAAGAUAAGGUCCCUGAUUGCAAUACUCACAAGGUGGGUUUUAAGAAAUAUUGGAUUGGCUGAAGGUUCUGGAGAGAGUGCAGAGUAAUAUGUAUUGUCUGGCUAAGCUUCUCUCUGCAAUCUAAAGCUACAAGGGAGGAGAAAAGGUCUAAAGAGAAAGGAAAGCCCACUCCUUAGGAUAGUAAAGAAGAGGUUCAUUUUCACUUCACAUUUUCCCUAAUUUUUCUGCGGUAAAUCAUUUUUGUGUUUGUGGGUGAAUUUGUUUUGUAGUUAUUUAAUUGAGACUGUUGCUCGAAAGCCCAACAAUGAUAUUUCCUUGGCUCUCUUUCAUGGUGAUCCGGAACAAGGCCUCAAGUAUUUUCUAAAGGAAUUUUUUAGAAAUUCUGCCGUGGUGCCAAGUAGGAAGAAAAGAUACAUGGACAAUAGCUUAAGUCUCUCAAGUAGAAUCCUACACUCUCUGAUACGUGUGUUUUGUUAUUUUCAUAUGCUUGUGCUAAUAACAUCAAAAACAUUUCAAUUUUGCUCCCUAUAAGAAGUUGAUCUCUCUAGGUUGGUUUAGUACUUUAGUUGUUUGUUUGACAAAGUAUAAUUUUUAGGCUUCCAAUCACUCUGAUGUAAACUUGAGAGCUUUGUCAGAUGUAUGUUGCGACAAAGUUAAUUUAUUGCUUUCUUGAUGAAAGUUAAUUUAUUGCUUUCUUUAACUUUUAGCUUUUCCUUUUGGUUAAAGUUUUUUAAUAAGCCACAGGAUGCAUAUACAAUGAAUUACUAUUGCAAACCUUUUUAACACUGAAUUGGUCUGGCACUGUAUUAUAUUACCCUUGACGGGAAAAAUUUCACAAGGUUUAAAGUGCAUUUAGUUAUUUUUUAGUAAUUAUUUAAACAUUAGGUUUUCGGGCUUACUGAAGAGUUAUUUUGCAGGUACUUUAAGAUUUUCUCCUAUUAUUUCUGAGAACAUCUGGUAUAUGUUUUCAGAAAUAUUUCCUUUAAUGAUUUAGGCGUUACAAUUAUUUUGUCAGACACAAAGAUAUAGGUUAGUAAUCUAAAGAAAGGGGAAGGUCUACUGCUUCAUGGGUUUGUUUAUUUUGCAUUCCUUCUUCUGUUCUUCACUGGAUCACAAGAUUCCAUGGUUUUUAUAUUUUUGUUAACUUGGUGUAGUGUAAAAGUCAAUCCCCCACUUCCUGUUCUGAACUAAUUUGUGUUUUUUAUGGAUGACAGUAAGUAUCAGAUUUCAUCAAUCAUUCUGCUGAGCUUUUACAAAGAAGAACAUCCUCUGAUGCAGACAAAGCAUUAGAACAUAUUAAUGAGGCGUUGAUGAUGAGUAAAUACUCCGAAAAUUUGCUUGAAAUGAAAGCAAAGACUCUUUUAAUGAUAUUAGGAGGUGAUUCAGCUGUGUGAUGAGACCCUUGAUUCUGCUGAGAAGAAUGCUGGUUUGCAAGUCACAGAGGAAAGCUUCUACAUCAGAAUAUGGCGGUGCUCAAUGAUCCUUAAAUCCUACUUUCACCUAGGAAAGCUUGAAGAAGGUCUGUCUUUGCUGGUGCAACAAGAGGAAAAGGUGUACACCAUAAGCAAGUAAUUAGUACUAACUUUUUAUCCAUUCACCCACCCUCUGCUCACUUCCCAGGCUUUGGUUCUAUCCUUGCAGGAGUGGAAGCAAGGUUUUGGAUUCACUCAUACUGUUAGCUGCCACUGUACGUGUGCUCUUACAUCACAAGGAUCUGAACUUGAAGUGUUGCUAUCUAUGAUAUUGCCACCGGCUAUGUGUGGACAUCAUAAUCACUUGGUUUGGACUUUGGACGCUAUAAAGGAUGGACACUUAUUCAAUUAGUUCUAGGAUUCGUGCUGGGUUUUGUCCUAAUUUUCUAUAAUCUUGAACUGUUGCUCUCUGUGACUUUGCUACCCGCUAGACAUUCUAAUCACUUCGGGUUUUGUUAGAAUAUUUCAAGAACCUAACUUUGGAUUUGUGCUUUUUACAAUAGUAUGAUUAAAUAACUUACUUAAAUUUGGAAUUUUACAGGGAAACAACAAGAGCAAUCAGGGAUGCAAAUUCUGUAAGAGGCUAAUGUGUCCCAUCUGCAAUCCUUUAAUUUGGAUAAAUGGCUCAAAAUCAACAUGUGUGGCAACUGGCAAGGGGAACCAGUAAAGUGAAUAAGUAAACUCAUCAAGCCAGAUUUCUAUGGUCCUCUCAGAUGUGGGAAAGCUGUUAGCCAAAGCAAUUGCUAAUUAAUCUCAGUUUCCUCUCCACAAACCUUAAUCUAAAACAAUGUCUUAAUCUAGCUGGCAGGUAUUUAUGUUUCGAAGAAUGUCUUUGUUUUGGACUGAAUAGUCCAUGAAAUAUUGGAAUUUAAUAUCUUUCUAUAUUUUUAUGCUCACAGAACUAAACACUUUUUAUAGGGUUUAGUAUAGGAGAGGGAGGGGUGGAAAGUAAAUGGAUGCAUGGUGGCUUGGCAAAUUUCAAUUUUUCACUGAAUCUCCCCCAAUUUGUUUAUUCCAUUAUUUCUUUUCAUUUUUCCAUGAGGGAAAUCUCUUAGUUGUAGUAACAAAUAUGCACCAUGGAGUCGUAGAGGUAACGAUUUCACAAGAUUUAUGUUGUGUAUAGAAGUUCUAGCAGUUACUCAGUUUUAGAAUGCUUUGGUUUUUAUCUGAUUUCUUUCUAUAGUAGAAAGGGAUAUGUGUUUGUUAACUACAUCAAUCAGUGAUUAGUGUUGUUGGUGACCAAUCUUUCUUUCAUUUAUUUGAUAUUUUUUUGUAGCAUUAAUAUUCAUUAUGUACUCAUCUACAUUGUUUAUAUCAACUGUAAUUCUGUAAAGACUAAUCUAAUGUGCUUGAACUACUUUUGAGUCUCAUUCUUUGUUAGUUUAUUUACACUCCUCCAAGUGCUUGGAGCUGGAACUUCAAGUUAUAAUGGUUCAAUGACAACUAUUUUUAACUACUAAUCUUGGGGAAGUUUUGCCACGUGCCAUAAGGAGAAUCUAUCAGAUUGUGGAUCAGAUUGAGCUUGAUUUUUUCAUUGAAUUGAGACUGUUUUUUAAUAUUCUAAAGUUGGUUUUUCAUGUUCUAGAGUUGUAUUUUCAUAUAUCAGGUUGUGGGUCAGAUUGUAUGUUUUGACUUGAAACUAAGACAACUCUGCAGAACGCCAUGUAAUGACUUUGUUCCAGUCUUGGAUCUUUUUGAAUGAAUUCAACCCUGCAUGGUUUGUUAUA